GAUGAACGCUGGCGGCGUGCCUAAUACAUGCAAGUCGAGCGAACGGACGAGAAGCUUGCUUCUCUGAUGUUAGCGGCGGACGGGUGAGUAACACGUGGAUAACCUACCUAUAAGACUGGGAUAACUUCGGGAAACCGGAGCUAAUACCGGAUAAUAUUUUGAACCGCAUGGUUCAAAAGUGAAAGACGGUCUUGCUGUCACUUAUAGAUGGAUCCGCGCUGCAUUAGCUAGUUGGUAAGGUAACGGCUUACCAAGGCAACGAUGCAUAGCCGACCUGAGAGGGUGAUCGGCCACACUGGAACUGAGACACGGUCCAGACUCCUACGGGAGGCAGCAGUAGGGAAUCUUCCGCAAUGGGCGAAAGCCUGACGGAGCAACGCCGCGUGAGUGAUGAAGGUCUUCGGAUCGUAAAACUCUGUUAUUAGGGAAGAACAUAUGUGUAAGUAACUGUGCACAUCUUGACGGUACCUAAUCAGAAAGCCACAGCUAACUACGUG
rnacentral:rRNA from 1 species